GUGGGGAAUAUUGGACAAUGGGCGAAAGCCUGAUCCAGCCAUGCCGCGUGUGUGAAGAAGGUCUUCGGAUUGUAAAGCACUUUAAGUUGGGAGGAAGGGCAGUAAGUUAAUACCUUGCUGUUUUGACGUUACCGACAGAAUAAGCACCGGCUAACUUCGUGCCAGCAGCCGCGGUAAUACGAAGGGUGCAAGCGUUAAUCGGAAUUACUGGGCGUAAAGCGCGCGUAGGUGGUUUUGUAAGUUGGAGGUGAAAUCGCCGGGCUCAACCUGGGAACUGCCUCCAAAACUGCAUGACUAGAGUACGGUAGAGGGUAGUGGAAUUUCCUGUGUAGCGGUGAAAUGCGUAGAUAUAGGAAGGAACACCAGUGGCGAAGGCGACUACCUGGACUGAUACUGACACUGAGGUGCGAAAGCGUGGGGAGCAAACAGGAUUAGAAACCCGAGUAGUCC
rnacentral:rRNA from 1 species